AACUUAGUAGUCUAACUUUGUUCCGGUUUUGGUUAAUGUGAACGUUGACAUCGAUUCGUUCCAAAUUUACACUCUCGGGGCAUAAUAGAAAGCUUUUACUCCUUGUUCGAUAGAAUGAGAAAAAGUACUCGUUGCAAAGUUAUACUGUUAUGGCGCAACUGAGUAGUCUAACUUUGUUCCGGUUUUGGUUCUUGUGAACGUUUAUAUCGAUUCGUUCCAAAUAUACACUCUCGGGGCAUAAUAGAAAGCUUUUACUCCUUGUUCGAUAGAAUGAGAAAAAGUACUCGUUGCAAAGUUAUACUGUUAUGGGGCAACUGAGUAGUCUAAAGUUGUUCCGGUUUUGGUUCUUGUGAACGUUGACAUCGAUUCGUACCAAAUUUACACUCUCGGGGUAUAAUAGAACAAUAUAAUUAGGUUUUGCUCUUUGUUCGAUUGAAUGAGAAAAAGUACUAGUUGCAAAGUUAUACUGUUAGGGCUCAACUGGGUAGUCUAACUUUGUUCCGAUUUUGGUUCUUGUGAACGUUUAUAUCGAUUCGUUUCAAAUUUACACACUCGGGGCAUAAUAGAAAGCUUUUACUCCUUGUUCGAUAGAAUGAGAAAAAGUACUCGUUGCAAAGUUAUACUGUUAUGGCGCAACUGAGUAGUCUAAUGUUGUUCCGAUUUUGGUUCUUGUGAACGUUGACAUUGAUUCGUUCCAAAU
rnacentral:lncRNA from 1 species